rnacentral:lncRNA from 1 species
UAGUUAGCCCCAUAUGGUUCCUAUUAAGUAUCUUAGAGCAUCUCCAACGGGAGAAAAAUGGAGCUCUCAUGACAGUCUCUCUAAAUUAUUGUGGAAAAAAAUAAAUCAUAAAGGUUUAAUACUGAGAGAAUCGUUUCUCUUAAGAGAGAUUUUGGAGCUGAAGAGAGACGCAUACGUGUCGUUGUUUUUCAGUAUUUCUUUUUUUUUUCCGUUUUUUUUCUCUACUAUCAUCUUUUCACUGGGACUUUGAGGAUCAUUGGACUUACCUGAAACGAGCUGGCCGACGUUGAUUUCGGUAGGCUUAUCGGCUCUGAGAUUCAUGGAUUCCAUACUUUGCAAGAAUUUAGGGACAUUUUAGGUUGAUUAAGGGAUCUUGGCUUUGAUUUGAGAUACCCAUCUAACGUGAAGAAGCUAGUGAAGUAUAUUUCAACCCCACCUGUGGUAAAGUCUAAUCUUUGUGUUUCGAUAGUUUCCUUUACGGUGUUUUGUAUCUGACUAAUAUCACUUUUGAUGGCUAAUAGAGAGAGCUUCAGGGGAUAAUCCAUUUGGGUGGGUAUUUUUCUGGCUGUACCACUUGCAGUUUCUCAAAAGUGAGUGAAGGAACUCAUUUUGGUUGAUUAUACUCUGAGUGAAGGAACUCAUUUUCGUUGGUUCUGCUCUUCUAAGUGAAGAGGGCUUACAAGCUUGGAAAGCAAGUUUCCAACAGAGUAAUAUCAUGUCUGACCGGAACCAUACAACGGAACAUUCCACAUAUCGUUUUACAUUUCUAUUGACCUUGACCUUUAUGUUUUAAUUUGUCAAGAAGUCUACUGCAUUUCUAUUCUCUCCUAUCUCAUUCCUCUUUAUUUACUUGCUUUCACAUGGUAAGGAAUUGUGAAUAUAUGGUCUCAGCCUCUCAUGUUAGACAUUUCUUCUAUGAUUCUCAUUUUUUCUAUUGUGAAUAAUUUUUUUUCCAGACAACUCUUUUAAAAGAGACUUACCAUUGGACUAUGAAAAAUCUUUCAAAAAAAUCAGAA